rnacentral:rRNA from 1 species
GACGAACGCUGGCGGCGUGCUUAACACAUGCAAGUCGAACGGAAAGGCCCUGCUUUUGUGGGGUGCUCGAGUGGCGAACGGGUGAGUAACACGUGAGUAACCUGCCCUUGACUUUGGGAUAACUUCAGGAAACUGGGGCUAAUACCGGAUAGGAGCUCCUGCUGCAUGGUGGGGGUUGGAAAGUUUCGGCGGUUGGGGAUGGACUCGCGGCUUAUCAGCUUGUUGGUGGGGUAGUGGCUUACCAAGGCUUUGACGGGUAGCCGGCCUGAGAGGGUGACCGGACACAUUGGGACUGAGAGACGGCCCAGACUGCUACGGGAGGCAGCAGUGGGGAAUAUUGCACAAUGGGCGGAAGCCUGAUGCAGCAACGACGCGUGCGGGAUGACGGCCUUCGGGGUGUAAACCGCUUUCGCCUGUGACGAAGCGGGAGUGACGGUAAUGGGUAAAGAAGCACCGGCUAACUACGUG